CCUACGGGUGGCUGCAGUGGGGAAUAUUGGACAAUGGGGGGAACCCUGAUCCAGCCAUGCCGCGUGUGUGAAGAAGGCCCUCGGGUUGUAAAGCACUUUCAGUGAGGAAGAACGCCUGGUGGUUAAUACCCAUCAGGAAAGACAUCACUCACAGAAGAAGCACCGGCUAACUCCGUGCCAGCAGCCGCGGUAAUACGGAGGGUGCGAGCGUUAAUCGGAAUUACUGGGCGUUAAGCGCGCGUAGGUGGCUUGAUAAGCCGGUUGUGAAAGCCCCGGGCUCAACCUGGGAACGGCAUCCGGAACUGUCAAGCUAGAGUGCAGGAGAGGAAGGUAGAAUUCCCGGUGUAGCGGUGAAAUGCGUAGAGAUCGGGAGGAAUACCAGUGGCGAAGGCGGCCUUCUGGACUGACACUGACACUGAGGUGCGAAAGCGUGGGUAGCAAACAGGAUUAGAUACCCUAGUAGUC
rnacentral:rRNA from 1 species